GACGAACGCUGGCGGCGUGCUUAACACAUGCAAGUCGAGCGGUAAGGCCCUUUCGGGGGUACACGAGCGGCGAACGGGUGAGUAACACGUGGGUGACCUGCCCUCAGCUCUGGGAUAAGCCUGGGAAACCGGGUCUAAUACUGGAUAUGACUCCAUGACGCAUGUUGUGGGGUGGAAAGCCUUGUGCGGCUGAGGAUGGGCCCGCGGCCUAUCAGCUUGUUGGUGGGGUGANGGCCUACCAAGGCGACGACGGGUAGCCGGCCUGAGAGGGCGACCGGCCACACUGGGACUGAGACACGGCCCAGACUCCUACGGGAGGCAGGCAGUGGGGAAUCUUGCGCAAUGGGCGAAAGCCUGACGCAGCGACGCCGCGUGAGGGAUGACGGCCU
rnacentral:rRNA from 1 species